UACGUAGGGGCAAGCGUUGUCCGGAAUCAUUGGGCGGUAAAGCGCGUGGUAGGCGGCUCGAUAAGUCUGCUGUAAAAGUCCAGGGCUCAACCCUGGAAGCCGGUGGAAACUGUCGAGCUAGAGUCCGGAAGAGGCGAGUGGAAUUCCUGGUGUAGGCGGUGAAGUGACGCAGAUAUCAGGAGGAACACCAAUUGCGAAGGCAGCUCGCUGGGACGUUACUGACGCUGAGACGCGAAAGCGUGGGGAGCAAACAGG
rnacentral:rRNA from 1 species